GACGAACGCUGGCGGCGUGCCUAAUACAUGCAAGUAGAACGCUGAAGGAGGAGCUUGCUCUUCUGGAUGAGUUGCGAACGGGUGAGUAACGCGUAGGUAACCUGCCUGGUAGCGGGGGAUAACUAUUGGAAACGAUAGCUAAUACCGCAUAACAUUGACUAUUGCAUGAUAGUCAAUUGAAAGGUGCAAAUGCACCACUACCAGAUGGACCUGCGUUGUAUUAGCUAGUUGGUGGGGUAACGGCUCACCAAGGCGACGAUACAUAGCCGACCUGAGAGGGUGAUCGGCCACACUGGGACUGAGACACGGCCCAGACUCCUACGGGAGGCAGCAGUAGGGAAUCUUCGGCAAUGGACGAAAGUCUGACCGAGCAACGCCGCGUGAGUGAAGAAGGUUUUCGGAUCGUAAAGCUCUGUUGUAAGAGAAGAAACGAGUGUGAGAGUGGAAAAGUUUCAACACUGUGAACGGAUCUUACC
rnacentral:rRNA from 1 species